UUGAGGACUUUAAAAAUUCCAAAAUGUAUGAUUAUGCAUUUUUCAAGGAUUAUUUACUUUCCUAAUUCCAAUAUAUUCUGUACAAAGUAUUCCUUACCUUUUAACUCAGCAGGUGCCGUAAAUUAGGUCGACGAAACACUGUAGCUCGAUCCGUCAUAUCCAAAUCAAACAAAAAUCAAGUUACUUGCUUAGAUUUCACAACACUUCGUAGUUAAUUACGCAACUCUUCUUUUACAAUAAUCUAGUUUAACAAAUUUGAACUAAUUGAUAGUCAAUAUUGGACAUCUUAUUGAAGAACAAAUCAUAAACCCAUAGUUUCUAUAUCAGAAGCCACAGACAUUAAUGCACCAAUGCGCAUAAAUGAAAAAUAUCUAGGAAGUAAAGAUAUAGAUGCAUCACAACUCCAAAAUUAACAAUUUGUAACAAAAAGUAAUAGACGAAGAACAAAAGAGAUCACACCAUAUGCAUAUGCAUAACCAAU